GCCUGGGUGGCUCAGUCCGUUAAGCUUCUGACUUCAGCUCAGGUCAUGAUCCCAGGGUCUUGGGAUCAAGUCCCAAGUCAGGCU
rnacentral:tRNA from 1 species